rnacentral:rRNA from 1 species
UACGUAGGGUGCAAGCGUUGUCCGGAAUUAUUGGCCGUAAAGAGCUCGUAGGCGGUUGGGCAAGUCACGUGUGAAAUCUCCACGCUCAACGUGGAGGCGCCACGUGAGACUGCCCUGACUCGAGUCCGGUAGGGGAGCGUGGAAUUCCCGGUGUAGCGGUGAAAUGCGCAGAGAUCGGGAGGAACACCCGUAGCGAAGGCGGCGCUCUGGGCCGGUACUGACGCUGAGGAGCGAAAGCGUGGGGAGCAAACAGG